GUCAGAGUAGCUCAGAUGGUUAGAGCGUAGCAUUCAUAACGCUAAGGUCGAGGGUUCGAUCCCCUCCUCUGACA
rnacentral:tRNA from 1 species